rnacentral:rRNA from 1 species
GACGAACGCUGGCGGCGUGCUUAACACAUGCAAGUCGAACGGGAAGGCCCUGCUUUUGUGGGGUGCUCGAGUGGCGAACGGGUGAGUAACACGUGAGUAACCUGCCCUUGACUUUGGGAUAACUUCAGGAAACUGGGGCUAAUACCGGAUAGGAGCUCCUGCUGCAUGGUGGGGGUUGGAAAGUUUCGGCGGUUGGGGAUGGACUCGCGGCUUAUCAGCUUGUUGGUGGGGUAGUGGCUUACCAAGGCUUUGACAGGUAGCCGGCCUGAGAGGGUGACCGGCCACAUUGGGACUGAGAUACGGCCCAGACUCCUACGGGAGGCAGCAGUGGGGAAUAUUGCACAAUGGGCGGAAGCCUGAUGCAGCAACGCCGCGUGCGGGAUGACGGCCUUCGGGUUGUAAACCGCUUUCGCCUGUGACGAAGCGUGAGUGACGGUAAUGGGUAAAGAAGCACCGGCUAACUACGUG